rnacentral:rRNA from 1 species
AACGAACGCUGGCGGCAGGCCUAACACAUGCAAGUCGAGCGGACCCUUCGGGGUUAGCGGCGGACGGGUGAGUAACGCGUGGGAACGUGCCCUUUGCUUCGGAAUAGCCCUGGGAAACUGGGAGUAAUACCGGAUACGCCCUUUUGGGGAAAGAUUUAUCGGCGAAGGAUCGGCCCGCGUUGGAUUAGGUAGUUGGUGGGGUAAUGGCCUACCAAGCCGACGAUCCAUAGCUGGUUUGAGAGGAUGAUCAGCCACACUGGGACUGAGACACGGCCCAGACUCCUACGGGAGGCAGCAGUGGGGAAUCUUAGACAAUGGGGGAAACCCUGAUCUAGCCAUGCCGCGUGAGCGAUGAAGGCCUUAGGGUUGUAAAGCUCUUUCACCGGGGAAGAUAAUGACGGUACGCGGAGAAGAAGCCCCGGCUAACUCCGUG